CAGGAAUCCCUGAAGAAAAGGCUUGUCGAGGCUCUGAAAGAAAACUACAACUUGAGACUAACCAGCCUAAAGCAGGACUCCUCUACCACUGCAGAGGCCAACUGUGGCAGGCAUUGGGACAGGUGUCUACAGAGACAGGUGCUUGCUCUGCGAGAGCAGGAGACACACCUGAGACAACUGGAGCAGACCAUUGUGCUUCUACAGGGCAAUCACAGGUCUUUGGUGUCCAAUAAUAACUCUCUGUUGGGACAUCUAAAUGAACACAUAACAGAACAAACGGAGUCCAGAGUCCAGAGAAUCCAGCCAGCAGACUAAUCUAAUGAGUUCAACAUUGAACAUCAAUUCAAGCCUUUGCCAAGAUUGUACUGCGUUCUAAUGACUCGAGCCUUCUCUGUAAACUGUUGUAGGCUGUUUGGCAUACUGUGAAAUUACAUUGAAAAUGUAUUUGUAAUAUACAUGCUUUUUAUAUGCACUCAACAAAAAAACACUUCUAAAGAAAGAUAACGUUAGAAUAUCAUAAUACACUUUUCUGUAUUGUCAUUUGUGUAAUUAGAUGACGAUAAUAAAGCGAUGUUUUUUUCACCCUCCGGAAGCUACUCGGUUUCUCCUCCAGCGGGCGUUUAAUUCUGACGUCACUGACGCAGAGAGGACGUUUCAGUGACGUCACUG